ensembl:lncRNA
AUGCAUUUGUGUGUUGACAGUCGUAGGAGUUUUGAUCGACGUAGCAAUAGUAACUAAGCAAGGGGGCUUUGCGAACGUGCGCUGGGACAGCUGAUUCGCCAAACAGGCUCGCAGUCUGUGUUCUACCACAGUCCCCAACGUUAUUCUCAUAUCUCUCAUGAUUCAUUUUUUUUUUUCUAAAGAUGAGUUGAUUUUGUAACGAGUAACGAAGGUUUCAAGGGAAAUGUAGCGGAGUAAAAGUAUCCGUUUUCUUCGCAAAAUGUAGCGAAGUAAAAGUAAAAGUACAGAGAAAUAUAAGUAGUAAAGUAAAGUACAAAUAUCCAAAAAAACUACUUAAGUACAGUAACGAAGUAUUUCUACUUCGCUACUAUACAACACUGUAACUAGUAAUAUAAAGAUUUCUUCGUUGACCGAGCCCAUUAUUCCCUACUGCUAUUACCAAAGCAAAUCCACAUACACAAAUGCACGCUUAAGAGAAAUUUAUUCUCUGUUCAGUUUCAAUUACAAAGUUUUCAGGUAUAGUGUGUGUGUGUGUGUGUGUCCGGUAAAAACAUUCUUCAGUUACACUUGGACUUGAACAAUCACCCCUGCUUGGUUGCAAAAAACUUGAAUUUGAACUUCAACAAAAUGGCUAAGUUUUCAGGUAUAACGUGUAUGUGUGUGCGUGUGUAACAGGUAAAAACAUUCUGCAAUUACACUUAGACUUGAACAGUGUGUGUGUGUGUGUGUGUGUGUGUGUGUGUGUGUGUGUGUGUGUGUGUGUGUGUGUGUGUGUGUGUGUGUGUGUGUGUGUGUGUGUCUGGUAAAAACAUUCUGCAGUUACACUUGGACUUGAACAAUCACCCCUGCUUGGUUGCAAAAAACUUGAAUUUGAACUUCAACAAAAUGGCUAAGUUUUCAGGUAAAAC